rnacentral:rRNA from 1 species
GACGAACGCUGGCGGCGUGCUUAACACAUGUAAGUCGAACGGUAAGGCCCUUCGGGGUACACGAGUGGCGAACGGGUGAGUAACACGUGGGUGAUCUGCCCUGCACUUCGGGAUAAGCCUGGGAAACUGGGUCUAAUACCGGAUAGGACCACUGCCCGCACGGGUGGUGGUGGAAAGCUUUUGCGGUGUGGGAUGGGCCCGCGGCCUAUCAGCUUGUUGGUGGGGUGAUGGCCUACCAAGGCGACGACGGGUAGCCGGCCUGAGAGGGUGACCGGCCACACUGGGACUGAGAUACGGCCCAGACUCCUACGGGAGGCAGCAGUGGGGAAUAUUGCACAAUGGGCGCAAGCCUGAUGCAGCGACGCCGCGUGAGGGAUGACGGCCUUCGGGUUGUAAACCUCUUUCAGCACCGACGAAGCGCAAGUGACGGUAGGUGCAGAAGAAGGACCGGCCAACUACGUGCCAGCCGCCGCAGUAA